GUUUUACAAUAUAAAUAUUGCUUUAAAACUUUGUAACCAGCUUGGAACAUUUCUCUUCCAUGAAACAAACUAUCUUCAUUAUCCCAAAUGCCUUUUCCUUAACACUCACAGGACCAGCAUUUACAUUUUCACUUCUGCGCUGUUUAGUAGCAGAAAAUAGCCUGGCUGGGCGAUGGACUGCAGGAUUCCUGGCCGUUUCUUGCAGUUUUUGGGAAGGUCCUCACAAGAACGUGUAGGAAAUGCAAACUGAGUGCUGCACAGAGACUUGCCUGUGCUUUUCCUUCUUGUUCUGAAGAAGCAGAGAGGUGGCAGGGGAUGCCUUGCAGCAGUGAUGCUCUGGGAGGAGAGGGAGCUGAACAUGAGCUUCUGCAGCGCGUUGUAGAAACUGCUUUGGCUGCUCUGAGGCGCAGAUGGGAAAGGCACAAGGCCCUGCAGCCUCCUUGGCGAUUCUCUGUACCACGGGACCACACAUCCUUGGAGCUUGUGCCAGCUCGUACAUGCCUGAGAUAUUUACACGAUGUGCAGUCUGACCUUGAAAGCAAACCUGAACCCGCCCCAAAAGUGAUAGUGAGGACCCAUAGAAGGGCAGGAGACCUGGAAGAGGUGCACCAGCCUCACACGGGGCCCUGCGUUGGACUGCAGUGGUGCAAACGUGCACGUGAGCAAAGAAGAGCUGAGAGGUACGUGGGGCAGGGAAGUACACACAGCAUCAGGUUAUUUUACAGUGAUAUUUUUGUUCAUUAACUCUCUGAUCUUUCCACAUGCUGCCAUCUGUAGAAAGCACACAUUGUACAUAUGGGAUUUUUAUUCAUGCUGUCGGGGGAGCUGGAUUAUUUCCAGUUAUAUCAGCUCCUUCCCGUCAAUAUUCAGGCAAAAAAAUGGCUUUCUAUACAACAGUCUUGCUGGAGUUUCAAAAUAAUGUUCCUUUUCCUGUUGUUUUUCUGCAUUUCUGUUUCAUAAACAUUGUUUUUCAUCACCCUUAUGUUCCCCAUCGCUUCUAUCGUGAUCCGCACCAUUUACUUCCUUGCUGGAACAAGCGUUGUCAAUAGGGCUGGUCAAAUAAAGAUAAAACCAAUUAGGGAGCGAACA
rnacentral:lncRNA from 1 species